AUGUUAUACACAAAGGGAGACCUUUUAUUCAACGGCAAGAUAUAUCUUCUUCUCUGACCAUACAAGAAAGACUUCAAGAGCAGUUCACCACUUCUCCAUUGCUCAGGUAGAUGGUGCAGCCGUUCUCCUCGGCCAGGCAGCAGUUGCACACUGGUUUCAGCUGCUCGCAGCCUUUGGAUGGGCACGUCAUGCACUUCGCGUUCAGGCAGAACAUGGGACAGAUUUUCCCCUCCUUUGCCUCUGUGCUCGGAAUGGAGAGCCCUGCAUAACUGAGAAAAGAAUCACCAUUCAUGAAGGAGCAGGAGAACGACGGGAGAGAAGAGUUUGGAGGAAGAAGAGAGGGUGCAGAGGCAGCUACCAGCCUACCUCACAGCAGGAGAGCCACCGGAAGAGUGAGCUUGAUGGUAGCCAUGUUAUGUAGCUUCUGUUCAUGUAGUCUGUCUCAAGACUGAAGGUUAUAUAAGAAGCUUGGUCAAAAUCCUGCAGUCGCAAAACAAAAAACAAAAGAUUGAAGUUCUGUCACUUGUGUCAAGGUAAGCGGUGAUCCAGAAUUCAGGAGUGUGGCCUCGAUCCAAGAUGGCCUAGCCAAAGAAUCAUCAGUUCAUCACCCUUGUUCUUGAAAUGUUGUUUGCCAAAAUGCGAUGAAUCCUUCAGAUGGGAGAUCCACCACACAUGAAGAAUUCAUCGCAUUGAGGUGAAUGGAAGUAAUCUAUCCACCGCGCAAGAUGGGAAACAAUCAACUAAAUAUGAAUUCAUGGCAGAGGUUCAAUGUAUCAUCCUUCAGAAACAGUAGAAAGUGAGAUAUUCACUCUACUGCAUCUGCAUGCCACAACAAGCAGCACGAUUCCAUUCUGACGGCAAAAGCGAGCUGUCAGUUAACAGACCAUGACGGGCCACUGCCUUGUAGUACUAGUCAGGCUUAGAACAACAGCAAUCAAAAAAAUCAGUCCAGCCUCGGAUCUAGAGACAGUGAUCCGUGACGGCAAUAUUCGACAGUUCGACGUAUCUCCAGCACAUUCUUUUUUGCAAGCGUCAGUUGCCAAUCCAACCUAGAGAACAGCCUUCUCCAGAACCUGGGAGGCCAAAUCAAAGCCUGACGAAAGUUUCACGCAGACACGCAUGGCGAAGGCGCGGGUUCGUCUCAAGAACCGGAUAAUUAUCUAACGGUUCGGAGAUUAGGUUACAGAGUUCCCUCACUAUCAGCUCCGUUUCAAGACUGAAGGGGCAUCUUGCAGAAUUUCAGAUCUUUCAGUGAACUGUCAACGGUAGCAUACGCUGGUAAUAUCGCAGUCUCGCGAGCAGCAAGACCGCAGUAACUAGUAGCAAUUCGUCUUGCUCGUUAUUAUCUGAAGAUGUCACGAGACAGGAACAAGAACGCAUCAUUUUCAGCUCUGCAGAGUGGAGCCG